GUGCCAGCAGCCGCGGUAAUACGAAGGGGCUAGCGUUGUUCGGAAUUACUGGGCGUAAAGCGCACGUAGGCGGGUAUUUAAGUCAGGGGUGAAAUCCCGGAGCUCAACUCCGGAACUGCCUUUGAUACUGGGUACCUAGAGUAUGGAAGAGGUAAGUGGAAUUCCGAGUGUAGAGGUGAAAUUCGUAGAUAUUCGGAGGAACACCAGUGGCGAAGGCGGCUUACUGGUCCAUUACUGACGCUGAGGUGCGAAAGCGUGGGAGCAAACAGGAUUAGAUACCCUGGUAGUCCACGCCGUAAACGAUGAAUGUUAGCCGUCGGGCAGUUUACUGUUCGGUGGCGCAGCUAACGCAUUAACAUUCCGCCUGGGAGUACGGUCGCAAGAUUAAAACUCAAAGGAAUUGACGGGGCCCGCACAAGCGGUGGAGCA
rnacentral:rRNA from 1 species